AGUCAAUCCUCAGCCAUGGCCUUCAUCUCCAUCCUCAUCUGGACUCUUCUAGUUUGCCUCCAAGAAUGCAGAGGUCAGAUCACUGUGACUCAAACUCCUGCUGCAUCAGCUGUUGGUCCAGGAGGGUCAGUCACUCUGAACUGCAAAACCAGCAGUGGAAUCGGACGUCGCUCACCUGCUGAUUGUGGGGGCUGUCUGUCCUGGUACCUGCAGAAGCCUGGAGAAGCUCCUAAACUCCUGAUACACAGUAUCAGCACCCGUUAUACAGGCACUCCAGACAGAUUCAGUGGAGGUGGAUCAAGCUAUGGCUCUGACUUCACUCUGACCAUCAGUGGAGUCCAGGCUGAGGAUGCUGGACAUUACUACUGCAUGGGGGUGUUCUCUGACUACUUUGUAUCACUGUGGCGCACUUUUGGAAGUGGCUCUAAACUUGAAGUUGGAGCUGUGACCCCCCCGGUGUUGACGGUGCUGCCCCCCUCCCCUGAGGAGGUGUCGGGGGGGCGCAGUGCCACGCUGGUGUGUGUGGGCAGGGGGGGCUUCCCGUCCGACUGGAGGCUGAGCUGGCGUCUGGAUGGGGGGGUUGAGGGCGGGGAGGCCAGUGCAGGGCUCCUGGGGAAGGACGGCCUGUACAGCUGGACCAGCAGCCUGACUCUCAGCGCCCCCCGCUGGUCAAAGAUCAGUACUGCACAGUGUGAGGCCACACACAGCGCCCAGGGGACUGUCACCAGCACGCUCACCAGAGACCAGUGCUCCAACUAGACCCUACACACACACACACACACACACACACACACACACACACACACACACACACACACACACACACUGUCUGGUACUGUGUGCUUGUUGUUCAAUGUGCAUAUGUGUUCAGGCUGCAAACAACAAU